GACAGAGGGUGCAAACGCUGUUCGGAAUUACUGGGCGUAAAGCGUGCGUAGACGGUUAUUUAAGUCAGGUGUGAAAGCCCCGGGCUCAACCUGGGAAUUGCAUUUGAGACUGAAUAGCUAGGGUGCGGAAGAGGGAAGCGGAAUUUCCGGUGUAGCGGUGAAAUGCGUAGAUAUCGGAAGGAACACCAGUGGCGAAAGCGGCUUCCUGGUCCAGCAUCGACGUUCAGGCACGAAAGCGUGGGGAGCAAACAGG
rnacentral:rRNA from 1 species